UACAGAGGUCCCGAGCGUUGUUCGGAUUCAUUGGGCGUAAAGGGCGCGUAGGCGGCGUAACAAGUCACUUGUGAAAUCUCCGGGCUUAACUCGGAGCGGUCAAGUGAUACUGUUGUGCUAGAGUGCGGAAGGGGCUACUGGAAUUCUCGGUGUAGCGGUGAAAUGCGUAGAUAUCGAGAGGAACACCUGCGGCGAAGGCGGGUAGCUGGGCCGACACUGACGCUGAAGCGCGAAAGCUAGGGGAGCGAACGGG
rnacentral:rRNA from 1 species